CGGGGCGUGGCGCAGCCUGGUAGCGCACCUGCUUUGGGAGCAGGGAGUCGGAGGUUCAAAUCCUCUCGCCCCGA
rfam:Desulfobacteraceae bacterium A6 Ga0073114_1099, whole genome shotgun sequence.